UAAUACGUAGGGUGCAAGCGUUAAUCGGAAUUACUGGGCGUAAAGCGUGCGCAGGCGGUUUCGUAAGACAGAUGUGAAAGCCCCGGGCUCAACCUGGGAAGUGCAUUUGUGACUGCGAGACUAGAGUGUGUCAGAGGGAGGUAGAAUUCCACGUGUAGCAGUGAAAUGCGUAGAGAUGUGGAGGAAUACCGAUGGCGAAGGCAGCCUCCUGGGAUAACACUGACGCUCAUGCACGAAAGCGUGGGGAGCAAACAGGAUUAGAUACCCUGGUAGUCCACGCCCUAAACGAUGUCUACUAGUUGUCGGGGAUUCGUUUCCUUGGUAACGCAGCUAACGCGUGAAGUAGACCGCCUGGGGAGUACGGCCGCAAGGUUAAAACUUAAAUGAAUUGACGG
rnacentral:rRNA from 1 species